rnacentral:rRNA from 1 species
CCUACGGGUGGCAGCAGUGAGGAAUAUUGGUCAAUGGCCGAGAGGCUGAACCAGCCAAGUCGCGUGAGGGAAGAAUGUCCUAUGGAUUGUAAACCUCUUUUGUCAGGGAGCAAAGUCAACCACGUGUGGGAGUUGGAGAGUACCUGAAGAACAAGCAUCGGCUAACUCCGUGCCAGCAGCCGCGGUAAUACGGAGGAUGCGAGCGUUAUCCGGAUUUAUUGGGUUAAAAGGGUGCGUAGGCGGGUUAUCAAGUCAGCGGUAAAAGCGUGGAGCUCAACUCCAUCCAGCCGAUGAAACUGAUGGUCUUGAGUGGUCGAGAGGUAUGCGGAAUGCGAGGUGUAGCAGUGAAAUGCAUAGAUAUCACGAAGAACACCGAUUGCGAAGGCAGCUUACCGG